rnacentral:tRNA from 1 species
GGGCCUGUAGCUCAGUUGGUUAGAGCAGUGGACUCAUAAUCCAUGGGUCGUAGGUUCAAGUCCUACCGGGCCCA